CCUACGGGAGGCAGCAGUGAGGAAUAUUGGUCAAUGGGAGAGAUCCUGAACCAGCCAAGCCGCGUGAGGGAAGACGGCCCUAUGGGUUGUAAACCUCUUUUGUCGGAGAACAAAACCCGGGACGUGUCCCGGACUGCGUGUAUCCGAAGAAAAAGCAUCGGCUAACUCCGUGCCAGACGCCGCGGUAAUACGGAGGAUGCGAGCCUUAUCCGGAUUUAUUGGGUUUAAAGGGUGCGUAGGCGGUCCGUUAAUUCAGCGGUAAACUUGCGGGGCUCAACCCCGUCGAGCCGUUGAAACUGGCAGACUUGAGUUGGCGAGAAGUACGCGGAAUGCGCGGUGUAGCGGUGAAAUGCAUAGAUAUCGCGCAGAACUCCGAUUGCGAAGGCAGCGUACCGGCGCCAGACUGACGCUGAGGCACGAAAGCGUGGGGAUCGAACAGGAUUAGAUACCCGGGUAGUC
rnacentral:rRNA from 1 species